rnacentral:rRNA from 1 species
GUGCCAGCCGCCGCGGUAAUACGGAGGGUGCAAGCGUUGUCCGGAAUCACUGGGCGUAAAGGGUGCGCAGGCGGGGCAGCAAGUCAGAGGUGAAAGCCCACGGCUUAACCGCGGACGUGCCUUGGAAACUGCUGCUCUUGAGUCCCGGAGAGGCUGCCGGAAUUCGUGGUGUAGCGGUGAAAUGCGUAGAUAUCACGAGGAACACCAGAGGCGAAAGCGGGCAGCUGGACGGGUACUGACGCUCAGGCACGAAAGCGUGGGGAGCAAACAGGAUUAGAUACCCCAGUAGUCC